rnacentral:rRNA from 1 species
CGCCCGCAAGGGGAGUGGCAGACGGGUGAGUAACGCGUGGGAACAUACCCUUUCCUGCGGAAUAGCUCCGGGAAACUGGAAUUAAUACCGCAUACGCCCUACGGGGGAAAGAUUUAUCGGGGAAGGAUUGGACCGCGUUGGAUUACCUAGUUGGAGGGGCAAAGGCCUACCAAGGCGACGAUCCAUAGCUGGGCUGACAGGAUGAUCAGCCACAUUGGGACUGAGACACGGCCCAAACUCCUACGGGAGGCAGCAGUGGGGAAUAUUGGACACUGGGCGCAAGCCUGAUCCUUCCAUGCCGCGUGAGUGAUGAAGGUCUUACGGCUGCAAAGCUCUUUCACCGAUGAACAUAAUGACGGUAUCCGGAGAAGAAGCCCCGGCUAACUUCGUGCCAGCAGCCGCGGUAAUACGAAGGGGGGUAGCGUUGUUCGGAAUUACUGGGCGGACAGCGCACGUAGGCGGAUAUUUAAGUCAGGGGUGAAAUCCCUCAGUUCAACUGCGGAACUGCCUUUGAUACUGUGUAUCUUGAGUAUGGAAGAGGUAAGUGCAAUUCCGAGUGUAGACGUGAAAUUCGUAGAUAUUCUGAAGAACACCAGAGGCGAAUGCGGCUUACUGGUCCAUUACUGACGCUGA